rnacentral:snRNA from 1 species
GGUAAAAUCAAACUAACUAAGAAA